AUUCCUGUUGAUCCUGCAGGAGAUCGCUGCUAUUAGGAUUCGACUAAGCCAUGCAAGUCAUCUCGCAAGAGAGGCGCAAUGCUCAGUAACAUGUCACUAAUCUGCCCUUAAGUUUUGGAUACCCUUGGGAAACUGAGGCUAAUACAAAAUAGGAAAAAUAAUCUGGAAUGAUUUUUUUCUUAAAGAGCAAUUGCUUAAGGAUGAGGUGGCACCAGAUUAGGCUGUUGGCGGUGUAAUGGACCACCAAACCUAUAAUCUGUACGGGGAAUGAAAGUUCUAGCCCGGAGAGGAACACUGAGAUACUGGUUCCAGCCCUACGGGGUGCAGCAGGCGCGAAACCUUUACAAUGUGCGAAAGCGUGAUAAGGGAAUCCUAAGUGCUUAUGUUUAACAUAGGCUUUUGCCAAAGGUAAAUACUUUGGAGAAUAAGUGGUGGGUAAGACUGGUGCCAGCCGCCGCGGUAACCCCAGCGCCACAAGUGGGGAUCGGUUUUAUUUGGUCUAAAGCGUCCGUAGCAGGUUCUGUAAAUUUUUUGUGAAUUUGUUGCGCUUAACGCAACAGAGUGCAGAAAAGACUGCAGAACUUGGGACUGGGAGGAGUAAGCAGUAUUCUCGGGGGAGCGGUAAAAUGUUAUAAUCCCGAGAGGACUACCUGUGCCGAAGGGGGCUUACUAAUACAGAUUCGACUGUGAGGGACGAAAGCUAGGGGAGCGAAAAGGAUUAGAUACCCUUGUAGUCCUAGCCGUAAACACUGUGAACUAAAUUCGGCGUAAACCUCGUGUUUGCGCUGUAUUGAAAUGAAGAUGUAAGUUCACCACCUGGGAAGUAUGGUCGCAAGGCUGAAACUUAAAGGAAUUGGCGGGGGAGCACUACAAGGGGUGCGGCGUGCGGUUUAAUUGAAUUCAACGCCGGAAAUCUCACCAGGAGCGACGGCAGGAUGAAGGCCAGUCUAAAGGGCUUGCCUGACGAGCCGAGAGGUAUUGCAUGGCCGCCGUCAGCUCGUGCCGUAAGGUGUCCUCUUAAGUGAGGCAACGAGCGAGACCUGUGUUUUUAAUUGAAAACGAGACGUUAGUCGAUUGUUCACAUUAAAGAGACUGCCGUGGUAACACGGAGGAAGGUGCAGGCAACGGUAGGUCCGUAUGGUCCGGAUCCCCUGGGCUACACGCGCGCAACAAUGGCCGGAACAAUGGGAUGCAACUCCGAAAGGAGGAGCUAAGCCUCUAAAUCCGGUCUUAGUACGAAUUGAGGUUUGUAACUCAGCCUCAUGACGUCGGAAUCCCUAGUAAUCGAACUUAAUCAUAGUUUGGUGAACAUGUCCCUGCUCCUUGCACACACUGCCCGUCAAACCACUCGAGCAGGGUAUAAGUGAAUUUCAGUUCAUGUGACUGAAAUGAACUUAUGCUCAGUGAGAUGGGUUAAGUCGUCACAAGGUAUCUGUAGGGGAACCUGCGGAUGGAUCACCUCCU
rnacentral:rRNA from 1 species